GUGUAAGUACAGUAAUGUAUUCAGCUGACCAAUACUAAUAGGUCGAGGGCUUGAUCAAAU
rnacentral:rRNA from 1 species